rnacentral:rRNA from 1 species
UACGUAGGGUGCGAAGCGUUGUCCGGAAUUAUUGGGCGUAAAGAGCUCGUAGGCGGUUUGUUGCGUCGGCUGUGAAAGUCCCGAGGCUCAACCUCGGGUCUGCAGUCGAUCACGAGCAAACUAGAGUGUUGCAGGGGAGACUGGAAUUCCUGGUGUAGCGGUGAAAUGCGCAGAUAUCAGGAGGAACACCGGUGGCGAAGGCGGGUCUCUGGGACCGAUGACUGACACUGGAGGAGCGAAAGCGUGGGGAGCGAACAGG